rnacentral:rRNA from 1 species
UACGUAGGGGGCAAGCGUUGUCCGGAAUCAUUGGGCGUAAAGCGCGUGUAGGCGGCUUGGCAAGUCGGUUGUGAAAGCCCGGGGCCCAACCCCGGAACUGCAUCCGAAACUGCCUGGCUAGAGUCCCGGAGAGGAAGGCAGAAUUCCCGGUGUAGGGGUGAAAUCCGUAGAUAUCGGGAGGAAUACCAGCGGCGAAGGCGGCCUUCUGGACGGUGACUGACGCUGAGACGCGAAAGCGUGGGGAGCGAACAGG